rnacentral:rRNA from 1 species
UUCGAGUGGCGGACGGUGAGUAACGCGUGGUAACCUGCCUUACACAGGGGGAUAACACCUGGAAACAGGUGCUAAUACCGCAUAAGCGCACAGGGCCGCAUGGCCCGGUGUGAAAAACUCCGGUGGUGUAAGAUGGACCCGCGUCUGAUUAGCUUGUUGGCGGGGUAGAGGCCCACCAAGGCGACGAUCAGUAGCCGGCCUGAGAGGGUGGACGGCCACAUUGGGACUGAGACACGGCCCAAACUCCUACGGGAGGCAGCAG